ACACUCCUACGGGAGGCAGCAGUGGGGAAUAUUGGACAAUGGGCGCAAGCCUGAUCCAGCCAUGCCGCGUGAGUGAUGAAGGCCCUAGGGUUGUAAAGCUCUUUCACCGGUGAAGAUAAUGACGGUAACCGGAGAAGAAGCCCCGGCUAACUUCGUGCCAGCAGCCGCGGUAAUACGAAGGGGGCUAGCGUUGUUCGGAUUUACUGGGCGUAAAGCGCACGUAGGCGGACUAUUAAGUCAGGGGUGAAAUCCCGGGGCUCAACCCCGGAACUGCCUUUGAUACUGGUAGUCUUGAGUUCGAGAGAGGUGAGUGGAAUUCCGAGUGUAGAGGUGAAAUUCGUAGAUAUUCGGAGGAACACCAGUGGCGAAGGCGGCUCACUGGCUCGAUACUGACGCUGAGGUGCGAAAGCGUGGGGGGCAAACAGGAUUAGAUACCCGUGUAGUCCCAUG
rnacentral:rRNA from 1 species